AUCCGAGGGGGAGAUGAUCGAGCGAAGUUUGGUAGAUCGUAGGGAUUGUCGCUGGCCUUUGGCAACGAAGGCAUGUGCACGUUCCGAGCUCUCCUUAGUCCUUGUUUGCUCUUCCUUUGGAGACGUUUCUCAACACCUGUGCACCUUAUUGUAGGUUCCGCAAGGGAUCUAUGUUUUUAUCUACCCCAAACGCAUGUCUUAGAAUGUUAUUAAUGCGUCGAUCGGCCUGGCUAACGCCUCGUCGGCGACGGUAAAGAAUCAUACAACUUUCAGCAACGGAUCUCUUGGCUCUCGCAUCGAUGAAGAACGCAGCGAAUUGCGAUACGUAAUGUGAAUUGCAGAUUUUCAGUGAAUCAUCGAAUCUUUGAAUGCACCUUGCGCUCCUUGGUAUUCCGAGGAGCAUGCCUGUUUGAGUGUCAUUGAAUUCUCAACCGUCCUUUGAUUUAUUUCGAGGGAUGGCUUGGAUUUUGGGAGUUGCUGGCUGACCCUCGGGACGGUCGGCUCUCCUUAAAAGCAUUAGCGAAAGGUGACAAGCCCUGCAUGCACGGCCUUCGACGUGAUAAUGAUCGUCGUGGCUGGAGUGUGAGGCGUAGAUAGUCCAUUUUUUGCUUCCAAAAACAUCGGUAUUUUGGGGAGUUUGCUUCGGCGGACGAACCUUUUUGCCCUUUUUGACGCUUGACCUCAAAUCAGGUAGGACUACCCGCUGAACUUAAGCAUAUCAAUAAGCGGAGGAAAAGAAACUAACAAGGAUUCCCCUAGUAACUGCGAGUGAAGCGGGAAGAGCUCAAAUUUUGAAUCUGGCGGUCUUUCGGCCGUCCGAGUUGUAAUCUAGAGAAGCGUCUUCCGCGCUGGAC
rnacentral:rRNA from 1 species